GAUGAACGCUGGCGGCGUGCCUAAUACAUGCAAGUCGAGCGAACGGACGAGAAGCUUGCUUCUCUGAUGUUAGCGGCGGACGGGUGAGUAACACGUGGAUAACCUACCUAUAAGACUGGGAUAACUUCGGGAAACCGGAGCUAAUACCGUAUAAUAUUUUGAACCGCAUGGUUCAAAAGUGAAAGACGGUCUUGCUGUCACUUAUAGAUGGAUCCGCGCUGCAUUAGCUAGUUGGUAAGGUAACGGCUUACCAAGGCAACGAUGCAUAGCCGACCUGAGAGGGUGAUCGGCCACACUGGAACUGAGACACGGUCCAGACUCCUACGGGAGGCAGCAGUAGGGAAUCUUACGCAAUGGGCGAAAGCCUGACGGAGCAACGCCGCGUGAGUGAUGAAGGUCUUCGGAUCGUAAAACUCUGUUAUUAGGGAAGAACAUAUGUGUAAGUAACUGUGCACAUCUUGACGGUACCUAAUCAGAAAGCCACGGCUAACUACGUG
rnacentral:rRNA from 1 species